ACGGAAGGCAGCAGUAGGGAAUCUUGCACAAUGGGGGAAACCCUGAUGCAGCAACGCCGCGUGAUUGAUGAAGGCCUUAGGGUUGUAAAGAUCUGAUAUAAGGGAAGAAAUAAAUGACGGUACCUUAGGAGAAAGCCCCGGCUAACUACGUGCCAGCAGCCGCGGUAAUACGUAGGGGGCAAGCGUUAUCCGGAAUUAUUGGGCGUAAAGAGUGCGUAGGUGGUUACCUAAGCGCAAGGUUUAAUCUUGAGGCUUAACCUCAUUCUGCCUUGCGAACUGGGCUACUUGAGUGCAGGAGGGGAAAGCGGAAUUCCUAGUGUAGCGGUGAAAUGCGUAGAUAUUAGGAAGAACACCGGAGGCGAAGGCGGCUUUCUGGACUGUAACUGACACUGAGGCACGAAAGCGUGGGGAGCAAACAGGAUUAGAUACCCUGGUA
rnacentral:rRNA from 1 species